rnacentral:rRNA from 1 species
UACGUAGGGCGCAAGCGUUGUCCGGAAUCAUUGGGCGUAAAGCGCGUGUAGGCGGCCCGAUAAGUCCGCUGUGAAAGUCCAGGCUCAACCCUGGGAUGCCGGUGGAUACUGUCGGGCUCGAGUCCGGAAGAGGAGUGUGGAAUUCCUGGUGUAGCGGUGAAAUGCGCAGAUAUCAGGAGGAACACCAAUGGCGAAGGCAGCACUCUGGGACGUGACUGACGCUGAGACGCGAAAGCGUGGGGAGCAAACAGG